ACUCCUACGGGAGGCAGCAGUGAGGAAUAUUGGGCAAUGGAGGCAACUCUGACCCAGCCAUGCCGCGUGCAGGAAUAAGGUCCUAUGGAUUGUAAACUGCUUUUAUACAGGAAGAAACCUCUCUACGUGUAGGGACUUGACGGUACUGUAUGAAUAAGCACCGGCUAACUCCGUGCCAGCAGCCGCGGUAAUACAGAGGGUGCGAGCGUUAAUCGGAUUUACUGGGCGUAAAGCGUGCGUAGGCGGCUAAUUGAGUCGGAUGUGAAAUCCCCGAGCUUAACUUGGAAUUGCAUUCGAUACUGGUUAGCUAGAGUGUGGGAGAGGAUGGUAGAAUUCCAGGUGUAGCGGUGAAAUGCGUAGAGAUCUGGAGGAAUACCGAUGGCGAAGGCAGCCAUCUGGCCUAACACUGACGCUGAGGUACGAAAGCAUGGGGAGCAAACAGGAUUAGAUACCCUGGUAGGUCAGU
rnacentral:rRNA from 1 species